GUUCCAGCUACCUCUAGCCCUGGCACCUUCAGGGGGAGGAGGCAACAGCAAAUGGCCCCUCUGACCACCAUCGGCCUCUGUCUCUCCCUGUCCCCAGCAGGAUCUAAACCUCCCUCCCUCCACUAAUAUGGUGUCCCGAGCACACCAAUCGGAGACCACCUAGAUCCAUCCAGGAGGCUGGAGGAGGCAGAGGCUGGGAGGGGGAGCUUAUGAAUGGAGAGGAAUCGUGUGGGGUCCCAGGGAAGCCCUGAGGAUCUGGGCUGGGUCCUGCCCACACGGGCUUCUGCAGCAUCCUGUGACAUUGGAGCCCGGAGGAAGAAAGAAAGGGGAGUUCGCCAGGACUGGGGUCAGGGAUGCUGCUGUACGUGCCCAUAUGCCCUUGGCACUCAGUUCCAGAACAUUCCAACAAUGUCCUUCUGUGAACACCAGCGACUCUCCUCUGGGAUCUCCCAUAACUGGAGGCACCAUGGAGUUCUCAUGCCCAGAAGCAGCCCUGAGCCAAGGAUGGUGGGAGUUGAAUGAGACCCCAGUUUCCUUGCCCCACAGCCUGCCCGGCACCAUCUCCCAGAGCCCCCUGGUGAGAACCAGCCUGGGUCACUCGCUGCUGUGAUGCGCUGAGAGCAUUACUUCACUCUUUCCUCUCUACCGCUUUCUCGGGGUCUUAGGGCUGUUACCUGGGAUUGCCUCCCAGAGCGGCUGCUUGCCCUCAAAGCCUUGUCUAGGGUCUGCUUCCUGGGGACCCCAGCUUUAAACAACCAGCUACUAUUAUGGGUUGAAUGGUAACCCCCAAAAGAUGUGUCCACAUCAUAAUCCCUAGAAUCUGUUAUUGUGACCUUAUGGGGAAAAUGUCCUUGUGGAUGUGAUUAAGUGAAGAAUCUUGUGAUGAGAUCACCCUGGAUUAUCCUGCCAGACCCUAAAUCCAAUGACAGCCAUCCUUGCAGGAGAGAGGCAGAGUGAGGCCUGACACACAGAGAAGAGGAGAAGGCCACGUGAGGACGGAGGCAGAGGAUGGAGGCAGAGAUGGGAGGAUGCGGCCACCAGCCAAGGACACCCAGAGCCACCAGAAGCUGGAAGAGGCCAGGAAGGAGCCUCUCCUGGAGGCUUCAGAAGGCGCUUGGCCCUGUUGACGCCUUGAUUUUGGAUUUCUGGCCUCUGGAAUGAGACGGGGUCUCGCGUUGUUGCCUAGUCUGUCUUUGUAAGGAAAGAAGGAAACUUCCUUAUCCUGUCACUACACAGCUGCAGUUAACUGUACCCUUUGUUAUGGCCCCUCUUGAACCAAAACAGGGAGCUCCCACCUGAUGAUCAGCACCUCCUCAGCAUUUUCUCUUGCUACCUCACAAGACGGUAAGCUCUCUUUGGAGAAACACAAACAUCUCCUCCCGCCAUGCCCUGUCCUGGUGUCCCAGGCUCUUGGAGAUGCUCAGAAAAUAAACAGAGAGGUGGAACAGCAUGCACAUGACAGCUGAUGAUGGAUGUUGUGGUGACUCCCAAACAGCUUUCCCCACAAACCCUGGAGCCCUGCACCCCAGCCCCCCCGAGCCUCCUCUCUAGGCCUUCUGCGUUGCCAGAAUUGUGAUGGACGGUGGGGCCAUCAUCUGUCCUUCUCCCUGUCCUUCUGGCACACAAAACAGUGCCCAACAUGAGGACAAUUGGGAGGGGUUGGGAGAAAAAAUAAAACUGUUCAUGUAGCCAAGAAGCCAGGCGAGAGGAUUUAUCAUGCAUUCCUCAUGGAGGCCACUCCCUCCACCCCCGACCCCUGACUGGCUCCAGUUUAAACAUUCCCUUUUG
rnacentral:lncRNA from 1 species